rnacentral:rRNA from 1 species
GUGUCAGCAGCCGCGGUAAUACAGAGGGUGCAAGCGUUAAUCGGAUUUACUGGGCGUAAAGCGUGCGUAGGCGGUUCAUUAAGUCGGUUGUGAAAUCCCUGGGCUUAACCUGGGAACUGCAGUCGAUACUGGUGAACUAGAGUGCGGUAGAGGGUGGCGGAACUCCGGGUGUAGCGGUGAAAUGCGUAGAUAUCCGGAAGAACACCGAUGGCGAAGGCAACCACCUGGGCCUGCACUGACGCUGAGGUACGAAAGCGUGGGGAGCAAACAGGAUUAGAAACCCCGGUAGUCC